UUCUGGCUCAGAGCGAACGCUGGCGGCAGGCUAACACAUGCAAGUCGAGCGGGCGUAGCAAUACGUCAGCGGCAGACGGGUGAGUAACGCGUGGGAACGUACCUUUUGGUUCGGAACAACACAGGGAAACUUGUGCUAAUACCGGAUAAGCCCUUACGGGGAAAGAUUUAUCGCCGAAAGAUCGGCCCGCGUCUGAUUAGCUAGUUGGUGAGGUAAUGGCUCACCAAGGCGACGAUCAGUAGCUGGUCUGAGAGGAUGAUCAGCCACAUUGGGACUGAGACACGGCCCAAACUCCUACGGGAGGCAGCAGUGGGGAAUAUUGGACAAUGGGCGCAAGCCUGAUCCAGCCCAUGCCGCGUGAGUGAUGAAGGCCCUAGGGUUGUAAAGCUCUUUUGUGCGGGAAGAUAAUGACGGUACCGCAAGAAUAAGCCCCGGCUAACUUCGUGCCAGCAGCUGC
rnacentral:rRNA from 1 species